UACGUAGGGGGCUAGCGUUGUCCGGAAUCAUUGGGCGUAAAGAGCGUGUAGGCGGCCUGGUAAGUCCGCUGUAAAAGUCAAAGGCUCAACCUUUGAAUGUCAGUGGAUACUGCCGGGCUAGAGUCCGGAAGAGGCGAGUGGAACUCCUGGUGUAGCGGUGGAAUGCGCAGAUAUCAGGAGGAACACCAGUGGCGAAGGCGGUGCUCUGGGCCGGAACUGACGCUGAGGAGCGAAAGCGUGGGGAGCAAACAGG
rnacentral:rRNA from 1 species